rnacentral:misc_RNA from 1 species
GUCGGCGGCUGCCGCGGAGUGGACGCGCGGGCAGGUGGCAGUGGGCGCGAAGGGAUGACGGCAACGACUGAGUGUAAGAAGCGAGAGAAAGAGGCUGAUCGAGAACUAUCCAGGCAAGGAAGGAAGGGCAUGGCGUGAAGUAUGAGGCAAAGGCGAAGGAGACGACGAAUUCCGGGAUAUCAAGGAACGGAAUGAUAUGGUGGACGAAGUGGGGAGACGUCGGGAG